GGGCGGUUAGCUCAGUUGGCAGAGCGUCUGUCUUACACACAGAAGGUCACUGGUUCGAGCCCGGUACCGCCCACCA
rnacentral:tRNA from 1 species